UUGAAACUUAGUUCCUCUUGCUUUAAAUGCCAGAAUAAAUUGAAAAUGUCCCGUUUCAUAUUAUUGGUCCUUCUAGUGGCCAUAGAAGCUAGUCACCACAAUGACUCCAUCGAGAUUCAGCCGAGAAGACGCUUCAACUCUAGAGGAAAUUUGCUUAAAUAUUUGGUUUCGAUACGAACACGAGAAAAGAUCUAUAAUUGGGGCGACAAUCACUUCUGUUCGGGAGCUCUGUUGACAUCCCGUUGGGUAAUGACCGCCGCCGGAUGUGUGACCACCAGUGCCGGAUCCGUUAAGAAAGCCACUCGACCGUAAUAGGAUACCGGUUGAGAAUGUGGUCUAUUCCAAUGAGCAAAAGAUCUGCUGCCAGGACUUGGUAUUGAUAAAGCUAACCCGUCCAGUUUCUGGAAAUAAGAACCAUGUUCUGAGGCUACCAGUUCGGGAGAUAAGCGACGAUUGGUUAUGCUAUUCAAUUGGAUGGGGAAGGUUGUAUCAUAAUGGACCUAUUGCCGAUGUAAUAAUUUUUCGAAUUUCGAAGAAAGUUGAAGACGGCCAUUGCAAGUUUGCGUGUAAUAAAAAUCACCUAUUUUGCAUGACUUCCUAUUCGGAGCGUAAUGACGUUGGCCAGGCCGACAUGGGUAGUCCGGUCUUCUGCGGUGGCACUAUCUACGGAGUGGCCAGCCAGUAUCAUAGUGACCGUCCGCGAACGAGUUUCGUGUACGCCAGUACCUAUUCCCAUCGCCACUUUAUUAUGAGAGUUUUGAGUGCGACAGCGAAUCCUCCUCCCUUGACGAGUUGGCCGUUCCUCUCCAUUGUCCUGGCCAUAGCUGGACUUGUAUGCUUUUUAAAUUAGAAGAUUUUUAAAUUAAAGUCUUUGGUCUUGAAUUUUUUGUGGCACUACUCCCAAGUUCAGGGUCGUUUCGCUCAGAGAGUGUGUGUGUGUGUGCGUGUGGGUGUGGUUGUGGGUUUGGGUGUGUAAUCCCUCAAUUUGUCUUCCCCAUUAAUCAGUCGCCGAUCACUGAUCGAUUGCCAAAAGUAGCAGCAGACGCCUAUACCCCGCCCAGCCACCCACCCUCCCCCUAUACCUUUUGUUUUCUUUUCUAUUUUUUUUUCCUGUAAACUUUUAAUUCUUCACCUGAAUGCUAGUUUGUCGCUAUUCCCCUUUCUGUUUAUCUUCCA
rnacentral:misc_RNA from 1 species